rnacentral:lncRNA from 1 species
UUUUUUUUUUUUUUUGGUCUUUUUAGGGACGCACCCAUGGCAUGUGGAAAUUCCCAGGCUAGGGAUCAAAUUGGAGCUACAGCUGCUGGCCUACACCUCAGCCACAGCAACUCGGGAUUCAAACUGCAUCUGCAACCUACACCACAGCUCACUGCAAUGCCAGAUCCUUAACCCACUGAGUGAGGCCAGGGAUCAAACCCACAUCCUCAUGGAUACUAGUCAGCUUAAUUACUGCUGAGCCGCAAUGGGAACUCCCGGAAGGCAUCUAUCUUGAUUGAAAAAUCCAGCGAUUGCCUGUUGGUGGUGAGGGCUCAGCUGGAAUGGUCAGCUGACAUUGGUUUGGAUCAGAUUUCUAAAUUUUCCCCAGCAACAUCUUCUGCUUUAAAGCAGAAACAGAAAGUGCAUACAUGGUAGAUUUCAUUUGGGAUGGGGAAUACGAAAACAGGAGGCCAUGAAUGGCCAAAGGGAUGAGGGCAGUAAUCAGGAUUAUUGCUAAAAUCAUUAACACUCAUAACAUGCUAAGAGGAAGACACUUGAAGGCUGAUGGGUCCCUUGUGCUCUGAGAACAGUGGAGGGCAGGGAGGGGUAGGGCUCACAGCAAGGAGGACAGAGUUCAAUGGUCCUGAUAAAAGUAACACCAGAAUCUUUUAGAUAUUUUCCCCAUAAAAUAAAAAGGUGAAUGCCCCUUUAAAUCAUUAACUAAAUCAGCAUUCAGAUCUGGGCAGUCUCUCCCAGGUUGGGCUGUUUUUCUUAGCCAGGAAUUGAUAAGCUUCUUUGAACCCUCCAGGGCAAGUGAGGCAUGAUCCCUCUUCCCUGUCUGGACAAGCUUGAUCUGGCCUCCUGCCUCCUGCUAAAGCAGGCCUGAGGUAUGUGCCAGGAUUCCGUGUCUUAGACUAAUUAUCACAUUCCAGAAUGCUCUGGGCUCCUCUGAUAUACCCUUUCAGCUUUUAGAGGGCCCUGUUCUGACCCUCCCUGGCUGUGCCCCUCACCACAGGAUGAAAAGACUGGGACCAAGAGAAUACUCCCAUCAGAACUCACAUCAGUUCCCUCUAGACCACACUCCGAGUACCUUGGACCACUUAGGAGCAUUUCCUAGCCCCAGUGCUCCAAGCCCAAUUUCCAGGCCUGCCUACACUUCCUUCCUGGUUCUCUCCUCUCAAGGGCAGACAUGCCAACAGUACACCCACUCUUCAGCAUGAGGGUUGCCAGGGGAUGUGUGGAUGUGUGGUCUGGGGCGGCCACACUCCUGCAUGAGAGGCUUUUCUUGGUCAGAGCCAGGGAUGGGAAGAGAAGAGAAGAGGGGCAGCUGCAGCCUGGAGUCCAGCAAACCCCAUGCCUCUAUGUCCUAUUGCAGGACUCCAGAAAGUUCAAGAAUUACACAUUAAAACUUGUUCUUCGGAUCAUUAGGAAGAUAGGGUUAUCGAGUUAGGAAAAUAGAACAUUUUAUUUGUAACUUUUACAUAGUUAGAUAUGGGAUCUAGACCUCCAUUUGUACUUUCCCUCGGCCCCACAAAUGUCAGGGGCAGCCGUGGUUCUUGCAGUGUAUUAUUUGUCUGUUGUGAAGAAUAGAUCUUCAAAAAUUAUUAUACUAGGUUUAUUUGACAUUUAUUUAGGUCCAAAUUGUGUCCCAGGAUGGUUAAAAAUAAAAAUCCAUUUAAAAUCCUUUUUGGAUUUCUCUAAAGUUUUGGUAGCCUAACCUGGGGACCUCCAUAUGCUGCAGGUGUGGCCCUAAAAAGACAAAAAAAAAAAAAAAAAAAAAAAAAAAAAAGAACAUGUUUCCUUGUUUUACUAAUGUCCAUAUUUAAGCACAGAAAGAAUCUGUAAAUGUUUAUCCUACUGUGGCUGUCAAGGUACAUAGCUCAGCCUUGAAUAUAAGCCCCAGCAGGUAAACACUGGAACAUGUCUUCAGUAUAUCCCUUGUGAUUUUGUGGAUGUUAUGUAUUGCAUCUUUUUCUUACGUUCCAGGUGCUUACUGAUACAUUAAAUCUGAAUGAUGUUAAAUUUGAGGCCUGUCCUGCAAAUCCAUGCCUUAUACCUUCAUUUUCAUUAUUAGAUCUUAAUUAUAGGAGUAGAAUCAGGUAAAGCUGAAAAUAUCUGGUUAUUAAACUGAGAGAAGGGAGAGGAGAUGGCCUCUGGAUUGCCAGACAGAGUGCACUAUUCUCAUUCCAUUUGCACCUUGAGACAAGCCUUCUACUACAUCUUGAAUUUCGGAAUGAGAUAUGACCCUUUGAGUGAAUCUGUGCUAGGACCUUCCAAUAGUGGUUUACAAUCUGCCGACCAAUCUCAGUGCUUUAUUUGGGGGAUAUCAAUGUGAGAAGUGGGAGGCUCAGUUUCUAAGGGUCAAGAGACCAUCUAGGCUUGAGAAGAUCUAUGAUUAAUGGAGAGCUAUGAUUAAGUAGGUGCUUAAAUGACACAAGGCAGAUUUAUUAAUUGAUAGUAUUAGAGUUGUUUCUACUUUUUAGAUGUUAUGAAUAGUGAUGCUAUGAGCAUAUGUAUAAAAGAUUUUAUGUGGACAUACUAUUUUCAUUUAUCUUGUGCUAUAUACCUAAAAAGGGAAUUGGUGGUACACAUGGUAGGUAACUAUGUUUAGCCUUUUGAGAAAACAAGACUGUUUUCCUAAAUGGUUGCACCAUUUUACAUUUCCACUAGCAAUGCAUAAAGGUUCCAGUUUCUCCAGUCCCACACCAACACUUGUUAUUAUCUGCUUUUUUUUAUUCUGGACAUCCUAGUGGGUGUAAGGGAAAUAAUUGUGAUUGUGAUUGCCAUUUUCCUGAAGGCUAAUGAUGUUGUACAUCUUUUCAUGUGCUUAUCGGCCAUUUGCACAUCUUUGGAAAAAUGUCUGUUCUGAUCUUUUGCCCAUUUUUAAAUUGGGUUGUCUUUUCAUUAUUGACUUUUUAAAUUUUUUAUUGUGUCCUAGAUACAGAUUUGCAUAUCUUUUCUCCCCUUCUGAAAAUUUCUUGCUGGUGUCCUUGUUUUUAAUGUUGAUAAAGUCAAAUUUGUCUGC